CAAACGGCUCUUUUCAGAGCCACCCACAACGUGAUAAAGAGCAGU
rfam:Takifugu rubripes chromosome, Chr_10